rnacentral:rRNA from 1 species
UACGUAGGGUGCGAGCGUUGUUCGGAAUUAUUGGGCGUAAAGAGCUUGUAGGCGGUCUGUCGCGUCUGCUGUGAAAAUCCGGGGCUCAACCCCGGACUUGCAGUGGGUACGGGCAGACUAGAGUGUGGUAGGGGAGACUGGAAUUCCUGGUGUAGCGGUGAAAUGCGCAGAUAUCAGGAGGAACACCGAUGGCGAAGGCAGGCCUCUGGGCCACCACUGACGCUGAGAAGCGAAAGCAUGGGGAGCGAACAGG